rnacentral:rRNA from 1 species
CGAUCCUUCGGGAUAGUGGCAGACGGGUGAGUAACGCGUGGGAACCUACCUUAUUCUACGGAAUAACAGUUAGAAAUGACUGCUAAUACCGUAUACGCCCUUCGGGGGAAAGAUUUAUCGGAGAAGGAUUGGCCCGCGUAAGAUUAGAUAGUUGGUGGGGUAAUGGCCUACCAAGUCUACGAUCUUUAGCUGGUUUUAGAGGAUGAUCAGCAACACUGGGACUGAGACACGGCCCAGACUCCUACGGGAGGCAGCAGUGGGGAAUCUUAGACAAUGGGCGCAAGCCUGAUCUAGCCAUGCCGCGUGUGUGAUGAAGGCCUUAGGGUCGUAAAGCACUUUCGCCAGAGAUGAUAAUGACAGUAUCUGGUAAAGAAACCCCGGCUAACUCCGUGCCAGCAGCCGCGGUAAUACGGAGGGGGUUAGCGUUGUUCGGAAUUACUGGGCGUAAAGCGUACGUAGGCGGAUCAGAAAGUAGGGGGUGAAAUCCCGAGGCUCAACCUCGGAACUGCCUCCUAAACUCCUGGUCUUGAGUUCGAGAGAGGUGAGUGGAAUUCCAAGUGUAGAGGUGAAAUUCGUAGAUAUUUGGAGGAACACCAGUGGCGAAGGCGGCUCACUG